rnacentral:rRNA from 1 species
UUGUCUCUAAGGGCUGGGUCAGUCAGGCUGGGGUCCGAAGCUGGGCUGGGGAAGCAUUCGCUCCGUUGCCCUCCUCUCGCCACCGUUGUAAGUUCGUUGUGCGGACCAUCUUGCGGUCUCUCAUGCGUGGUCUUGCAAGGGGCUGCGUGCAGGGGUUCGUUUGGGGUGGUGUCCUUCAUGCGGGGGUUCGCUGGGCCCUUCUCGCUGAUCUCCCCAGCUACGGCACUCACCGGACCCGUUUGCGUGGGGUCUCCGGUGGGUAGCAGCUGACUUAGAACUGGUGCGGACCAGGGGAAUCCGAUUGUUGACGUGAUGUGAUUUCUGCGUAGUGCUCUGAAUGUAAAAGUGAAGAAAUUCAAUGAAGCGUGGGUAAACGGCGGGAGUAACUAUGACUCUCUUAAGGAGUCCUUAGCCCAGGACAUUAGGGGUCCAUGCUUCCCAAAAUAAUGGGAAGUCGUAUACGGGUGACCCCAAACCCUACAUUGUGUCACCUGCUUGCAGGUGGCCCUAACAUAGCAACAAACUGGAGCAAAAUGUGCCUUCAGGUCGAACGAAACCCUGAUCCGGCUGAGAGUUAAUGCCUCAGAUAGGUUAGAUAAUCAUCUUCAGGAUAGGUCCCCCCCCCCCCCGCGGGACGGUUGAGUUAACGUAGGCUAAUGUGAUUAGCAUGUUGUAGGAAACAAAAAACAAUCCCAGGACAUAGACUUAUCUGAUAUGGGCAGAAAGCUUAAAUUCUUGUUAAUCUUACUGCACUGUCCAAUUUACAGUAGCUAUUACAGUGAAAUAAUACCAUGCUAAUGUUUGAGGAGAGUGCACAAUUGUGAACUUGAAAAUGUAUGAAUAAACCAAUUAGGCACAUUUGGGGAGUCUUGAUACAUUUUGAAUAGAUGUGCAAUAGUUCAUUGGCUCACUCUCCUACAGUGCUGUCAUCUAGUGGCCAAAGUCUAAAUUGUGCCUGGGCUAGAAUAAUUCAUUAUGGCCUUUCUCUUGCAUUUCAAAGAUGAUGGUACAAAAAAAGGUUGGAUUUUUCUUUUGUAUUAUCUUUUACCAGAUCUAAUGUGUUAUAUUCUCCUACAUUCCUUUCACAUUUCCACAAACCUCAAAGUGUUUCCUUUCAAAUUGUAUCAAGAAUAUGCAUAUCCUUACUUCAGGUCCUAAGCUACAGGCAGUUAGAUUUGGGUAUGUCAUUUUAGGCGAAAAUUGAAAAAAAGGGCAGAUCCUUAAUUAUUUUAAGACAGGGGAGGUAAGGGAAGACUUCAAAGUCAGAUGCAUAACUUCGGGAUAAAUAGUACCGUAGCCCUUGGAGGGCUCUUCCAACCCUUACUCUGUGUGUCACCUGUUUGAGGGAAUCUCUCCAAUGGCUAAGAGACAGACUGUCUCUAGCAUGUUAGCACAGGGGGGUAAGGCAGAUAACGAGAUAGCCCUCUAGCAGGGCUCUUCCAAUCCCUCCCUGUAUGUCACCUGUUUUCAGGUGUCGCUAACGAUGCAAACCAAACGGAAGUUACUUCGGUACUAGUCCGUACGCAAAGAGAGUCCUGCAGAUGGUGACGGCUGUUGAUUGUUUACGGAAGGUGGAAGUCGGUCCUGGAAUAUGGGCCUUUCUGGCAAGCAUGAAAAUGUGAGGGCGGUUCCACCAGGCUCAAUGUUUUGCUACGGAGCUCUUGUAAACAAAUCCUGACCUUGACAGAAAGCCAAUCAGAGAAUGAUGGCUCGAAUGCAUCCCUGGCUUUGGCUGGGAGGGGGGAGUUAAGUCCCGGCUGUGGUGAAACGAUUAAAGAUGUGUCCCCCGUAUACUUGGCUAACGCUAAACCGCAAAGGUUUGAAUCGCACACGGGCUUCGGCUGGACCCGCUAACAGUGGAGCACUAAAUGGAGAUGGAUUGUGCUUAGCGGUUAUGGACACUGCCAGGUCUCAGGUCCGCCUGGGUGCGGGACUCCACACAUUCUAUGUGGGAGCUCUCCUCCACGCUCCUUGGAGCAUGUAGUGGAGAUGGCAUGUGCUUUACCAUUAGCUGACACUACCAGGCCUCAGAUAUUGUAGGUAGGGAGGUCUCCUCUACGCUCACUAGACACGAGGCGGAGACUAAACCCAUUGGCCCCGCAGUGAUAGGGCAUUGCAUGGAUCUGGCCUAGGUUCCCACUGGGCACGGAUCACUGAAUGUUAAAUUGAUGAAAUUCGGCCCUCCCGGGUGGCGCAGUGGUUAAGGGCGCUGUACUGUAGCGCCAGCUGUGCCACCAGAGACCCUGGGUUAUCGUUUUUUCACUUACUCGUUGAGGCGGGCUCUCGCUUCUGGGUCAAGGGGACAGUGGCAGGUGGGGAGUUUGACUGGGGCGGUACACCUGUCAAACGGUAACGCAGGUGUCCUAAGGUGAGCUCAGGGAGGACAGAAAUUUCCCUGGAGCAGAAGGGCAAAAGCUCGCUUGAUCAUGAUUUUCAGUAUGAAUACAGACCCAGAAAGCGGGGCCUCACGAUCCUUCUGACUUUUUGGGUUUUAAGAAGAAGGUGUCAGAAAAGUUACCAUAGGGAUAACUGACUUGUGGCUGCCAAACGUUCAUAGUGACGUAGCUUUUUGAUCCUUCGAUGUCGGCUCUUCCUAUCAUUGUGAAGCAGAAUUCACCAAGCGUUGGAUUGUUCACCCACUAAUGGGGAACGUGAGCUGGGUUUAGACCGUCGUGAGACAGGUUAGUUUUACCCUACUGAUGAUGUGUUGUUGCAAUAGUAAUCCUGCUCAGUACGAGAGGAACCGCAGGUUCAGAUAUUUGGUGCAUGUGCUUGGCUGAGGAGCCAAUGGUGCGAAUCUACCAUCUGUGGGAUUAUGACAGAAUGCCUCUAAGUCAGAAUCCCCCCUAAACGUAAUGAUACUGUAGUGCCGCGGAUCUCCGGCUGGCCCGGGAUAGCCUGCCUCUUUUGGCAGGUGAGCAGAGCUGUUCGUCACGGGGUUGGGGUGUGGCCGGAUGAGUUGCCGCCCCUCUCCUGAUGCGCACCGCAUGUUUGUGGGGAACCUGGUGCUAAAUCACUCGUAGACGACCUGAUUCUGGGUCAAGGUUUCGUACGUACCUUAGCAGCUCUCUCGCUGCGAUCUAUUGAAAGUCAGCCCUAGAUCCAAGCUUUUGAGAUCCAAAGCGUC